GACGAACGCUGGCGGCGUGCUUAACACAUGCAAGUCGAACGGAAAGGCCCUGCUUUUGUGGGGUGCUCGAGUGGCGAACGGGAGAGUAACACGUGAGUAACCUGCCCUUGACUUUGGGAUAACUUCAGGAAACUGGGGCCAAUACCGGAUAGGAGCUCCUGCUGCAUGGUGGGGGUUGGAAAGUUUCGGCGGUUGGGGAUGGACUCGCGGCUUAUCAGCUUGUUGGUGGGGUAGUGGCUUACCAAGGCUUUGACGGGUAGCCGGCCUGAGAGGGUGACCGGCCACAUUGGGACUGAGAUACGGCCCAGACUCCUACGGGAGGCAGCAGUGGGGAAUAUUGCACAAUGGGCGGAAGCCUGAUGCAGCAACGCCGCGUGCGGGAUGACGGCCUUCGGGUUGUAAACCGCUUUCGCCUGUGACGAAGCGUGAGUGACGGUAAUGGGUAAAGAAGCACCGGCUAACUACGUGCCAGCAGCCGCGGUGAUACGUAGGGUGCGAGCGUUGUCCGGAUUUAUUGGGCGUAAAGGGCUCGUAGGUGGUUGAUCGCGUCGGAAGUGUAAUCUUGGGGCUUAACCCUGAGCGUGCUUUCGAUACGGGUUGACUUGAGGAAGGUAGGGGAGAAUGGAAUUCCUGGUGGAGCGGUGGAAUGCGCAGAUAUCAGGAGGAACACCAGUGGCGAAGGCGGUUCUCUGGGCCUUUCCUGACGCUGAGGAGCGAAAGCGUGGGGAGCGAACAGGCUUAGAUACCCUGGUAGUCCACGCUGUAAACGGUGGGUACUAGGUGUGGGGUCCAUUCCACGGGUUCCGUGCCGUAGCUAACGCUUUAAGUACCCCGCCUGGGGAGUACGGCCGCAAGGCUAAAACUCAAAGGAAUUGACGGGGCCCCGCACAAGCGGCGGAGCAUGCGGAUUAAUUCGAUGCAACGCGUAGAACCUUACCUGGGUUUGACAUGGAUCGGGAGUGCUCAGAGAUGGGUGUGCCUCUUUUGGGGUCGGUUCACAGGUGGUGCAUGGCUGUCGUCAGCUCGUGUCGUGAGAUGUUGGGUUAAGUCCCGCAACGAGCGCAACCCUUGUUCACUGUUGCCAGCACGUUAUGGUGGGGACUCAGUGGAGACCGCCGGGGUCAACUCGGAGGAAGGUGGGGAUGACGUCAAGUCAUCAUGCCCCUUAUGUCCAGGGCUUCACGCAUGCUACAAUGGCUGGUACAGAGAGUGGCGAGCCUGUGAGGGUGAGCGAAUCUCGGAAAGCCGGUCUCAGUUCGGAUUGGGGUCUGCAACUCGACCUCAUGAAGUCGGAGUCGCUAGUAAUCGCAGAUCAGCAACGCUGCGGUGAAUACGUUCCCGGGGCU
rnacentral:rRNA from 1 species